CAGAGAGUAUAAUAGCUUUUGCCUCCAAUAAUGAAAAAUUCAGGUGGUCUUCUUGAACUUUUUGCCCUAACACCUUGAAAGUCAGCUACAUAUCUGCCAACAGAACAAUCAGGUAUUUCUGCCAGACAAUGCUGUUAUUGAAGUGAGUGUAUGCUUCGGGGCAUGCAUGGAAAGGAACAAGCCCAGCCAUACAGCACAGAAGAUAUCUAAGGGAAGAAAAUGCAGAGACAAAGCGCCCCUGGCUGCUUUCUUUGAAGUUAUAAGAAAACCCAGAGCCAUGUCCACGUACCAGAAAUAUUCCGGGAAGCCCAGACACAGAAGUCAUGCCCUUCUUGCACUUUGGAGACUUAUUAAGACGAUUGCCAUUCUGACUAGCCAAAGCUGCUCAAAGGGCCGGGCCCAGGGAUAUAAUUUACUGAGCAUGCUUGGACAGGCCGUCUGCAUUCUCCCCUAAGUUAAAGAAUUUGCACCACCUGCAAAUUAUACUAGUAUGGUGGCCUUUGCACGGACGUCCUGCCCUUUCCUGAAGUCACUGGGGGAUCACCUCAUUGCUCACCAAUCCCAGGACAUCGUACAUCAGGCAGGCCCGCAAUAACUUGCUGCUUCUUUUGGAUCCUCAAUUAAUGACCAGGUACAACUGCUUAGGAGUCAAUAACAGCAUCUUGUUAUUAUUGGAAGAAGCCUUCCUUAGAUCCUGGUGUGUUUCCGUAUUCAUCUGCGUGUUCCAGAUGCUUUUCC